AUCAUCUAGGGAUGUUGUUACAUUCAGAUUCUGUUUCUGUAGGUGUGGAAUGGGCCUAAGAUUCUGCAUUUCUAACAAGCUCCCAGGUGAUGCUA
rnacentral:miRNA from 10 species